rnacentral:lncRNA from 1 species
UGAUCCAAGUUGGCGGAUGUAAUUUUGCGCGCCGUGCGUGUCUCGUCUCUCGUGGACGGUGUGGGUGCGCCGCCGCGCCGUGCAAAUAUGUCGCUGCACGGACGCGAUCUGACAGUCGGUGUUUCCGUUGCGUGCUCAUGGUGCGGCUCCUGUUUUUUUUUUUAGAGAGAAAAGGGCGAUUCCCCUAGUUUGGUUUCCCGGUCGUGUUCCGGGGGCAAACAAUGGCACGGGGCCUGGGCCAACCGGGUCGGUGGAUAGUUAGCGGCUGCAGGUCUCGCUUUAAUUAUCGUCCGUCCGUCCGUACUCUCAGUUUCUAGCUUGUCAUCCGUGUGGGUAGUGGGUACUAUGCAUGAUUUGAUUCGCUUAUCGUGACGCUGACUGAUAUUGAUAUCCUACCACGCCUAUCGAUCUGUUCCACCAGCGCAUGGCAUUGGCUAGCUAUCACCUGGACAAUGGUAACAUGUGACGCCACUAUUGCCUCGCUUAUAAAUUUGCUUGUAUUCCUAUGUUCUUAAAUACACAAAGUUCUAAUUUUGUCCAAAGCCAAAAAAAAUUCUUACAGUUUAACUAAGUUUAUAAAAAAUCUACUCUCUUAGAUCCAUGUUACCUGUCUCGCGCAAAAAAAAAAGAUCCAUGUUACUUGUUGAUGCUUGGUCUACAUACGCAUGUGCCUACACAA